AUUGGGUUUAAAGGGUCCGCAGGCGGGCAGCUAAGUCAGAGGUGAAAGGCCACGGCUCAACCGUGGGACUGCCUUUGAUACUGGCUGUCUUGAGUCAUGGUGGGGUGGCCGGAACAUGUGGUGUAGCGGUGAAAUGCAUAGAUAUCACAUAGAACACCGAUCGCGAAGGCAGGUCACCAACCAUGUACUGACGCUGAUGGACGAAAGCGUGGGGAGCGAACGGGAUUAGAUACCCCGGUAGUCCACGCCGUAAACGAUGGAUACUAGCUGUCGGGCCCUCGGGCUCGGCGGCCAAGCGAAAGUGAUAAGUAUCCCACCUGGGGAGUACGUUCGCAAGAAUGAAACUCAAAGGAAUUGACGGGGGCCCGCACAAGCGGUGGAGCAUGUGGUUUAAUUCGAUGAUACGCGAGGAACCUUACCAGGGCUUAAAUGCAUACUGACAGGGCCAGAGACGGCCCCUUCUUCGGACAGUUUGCAAGGUGCUGCAUGGUU
rnacentral:rRNA from 1 species